GGGAGGGGAAAUGGAGGGGCCAAUGCCGCUAUAAAGGUUGACCUAGCAAAGGCCUUUGACACAGUGAGCUGGGAGGCGAUAGAGGGUACAAUGGUAGACCUAGGAUUCAGCCAGAAGAUUGUGAGGAUAAUAAUGAUGUGCAUCACCACAUCAUCUCUGUCCUUCCUUGUAAAUGGCUCACCCACACCACAAAUCCAACCCAGGAGGGGAAUCAGACAAGGUGACCCCUUAUCACCCUACAUAUUUGCUCUAAUAAUGCAGAAUCUAACCAUUCUAAUCAAUGAGCGGGUAGCUAAGAAACAGAUUAGUACCUUUAAGAAACACAAUGUGAUGGGUAUAUCACACCUCAUCUAUGCAGACGACCUCCUUAUCUUUUGCAAAGCUAGGGAGGAGUCGUUCAAGUCGGUAAACGAGGUAUUCAGACUGUUUGAGGAAAGAACAGGGCUGAAGGUGAGUGAGCCAAAAAGUGAAGUCUUCUUCUCGAACUCCACCAAAGAGAAGGAAACCUUGCUAACCCAUCUAAAAUUCAAGGAGGGAGAGUUCCCCACAACCUACUUAGGUUUACCUUUGUCUCCUAGAAUACUAUACCAAAAGGACUGUGCACCUCUGAUAGAUAGGGUGAAUGGGAUGGUAGAGGGAUGGAAAACAAGACUACUAUCCCAUGCGGGCAGAGUUCAAUUAUACCAUUGGGGGAUAAUGGGAAUUUUUAAUUUUUGGAACAUGUCUAGCAGGCUCCCGGUGGAAACACUAAAGAAGCUACAAUCCAUUAUAUAUAGGUACAUAUGGAAUGGGAAACAGGAUAUGUCUUGGGCACAAAUGGUGCUACCCAAGAACGAGGGUGGGCUAGGACUAAGGAGCUAUCAUGAGUCGGCUGAGGCAGCCAGACUAACAAGAUUAGGAAGGAUAUGGUCAUCCCAAGACUCCAUAUGGGCCUCAUGGAUGAGGGGUAGAUACGUAGGUGGGAGGGGACUACUGAGCAUUAGUAAGCACCCAAGUUUAGACUCAGCUUUAUGGGCUGAAAUAAUUGACUAUAAAAAUGAAAUAGUGAAAACCUUAAGAUGUGAUCCCAACUACGAUUGUACUUGGGAGGGCAAAGGGACUUCGCUAACCUAUAAAAAUGCUUGGGACUCCGUGAGGGAAACAGAGGAGGUAGACAAUUACUGGGAGGGAAUUUGGACAACUAGUGUGAGAAAAUUCAGUAUGACACUUUGGAGAGCUAGAUGGUCCAAAAUCUCUAUGAGGGCAGAUUGGGCGGGUAGAAUGGGGGGAGAUGCCACGGAUUGCAUUUUAUGUGGGGGACCAUGGGAGUCACAAGACCAUGUGUUCUUUAAAUGCAAAUUCUCUAAGGACUUGUGGAAUUAUAUAUUAUCUGCGAAACCCCGUUUGAUUACAUGUGCAGGUCUAUCUUUAAAACAGGUUAUGGAUGAAGCACAAGCAAGAACAAAAAACUCAAUAUGCUGGGGAAUGACUUGGGCUUACAUUGCUGCAGUGGUGUGGGGGAUAUGGACAGAAAGGAACAGGAGGGUUCAUGAGGAUAGACGGACCAGGCCACAAGAGAUUGGGAGAAGACUAGUGGAAGAUAUCACCUCAACAUUCAUGCCGAGCAGGUACAAGGCAAUAGGGACAACUCAGGAACAAAGGAUGGCACAAGGCUGGAAUUGCGGGGGGGGAAAUGCCCCAAGUUAAUUGCUGUUUUAUUUUUGGUGUAUUUAAUUAAACUGCUUGUUGCAACUUAAAUUUGGUAGGAACAAAUAACAUGUAAUUGGUAGGCUAGCGAUAGGGGAGGGUUCAAUUAAAAAUAGAACCCAAACCUAUCAAUGGCAAAGGUCUAGCAUGUAUGGUACAUGGACUGAUCUAAAAAUCAUGUCCAUUAGGAACCCCUGGCCCAAUAGGGACAAGGAUCUUCCUAAGUCAUAGUAGAAACGAUAUGUGGAAUCACUUACAAAUUAGUGGACCGAAAGGUGAUGGCAGAGUUUUCCCUUGGAAAAGGAAAAGAGGCCAUGGGCACACCAGGGUUUUUACACUCCCCAUUGUCCAAGGCCCACUAUGUGAGAACGAUGAGGCAUAGAUCGUUAUAGGAACCAUUGAGUCAGUCCCCAAAGGCUUGGAAGAUUAGGCGAUCGUAAGAUCAAAUAAUUGGAUAAGCGCGGAGGGCGUGAGGUGGACCGUCUGUGGUCGCACUUCUUUUUUGUUAAGAUCUUUUAUAUUAUCAGUGAUUUUAACUCAAAAAAAAUUGGCUGCCACAAUUCGCCACAAGCCCAUGAACGCUUGGCUGCCACAAGCCCAUGUGAGAGUGAGAUAGAGGCGAUUGGGAGGGCGAUUAAAGGGCGAUCGUGUGUUCUUGGUUUCUUGCAGGUCUAGGAGUACGGCAGCACGGAGGGAGAGAGAAGAUUCCAGAGAAAUUUCAAAAUCAGGAUAUUUUACUAUUAAAUAUAUACUAUUUUCUAUUGUUUUUUAAAUUUUUAGGAUUAAACAUCACUGUUCAUUGUCCUCUUUCGCUGCAGGACACUCGUACUUCUUCUCCAUGGAGAACAUCUCCAUGGAGGUCGAUAAAGGCGGAGUUUGGACGGAGGUUAAUAGAAGGAACAAGGGAAGGUCUGGAGGGGAUUUUAAUCCGGUAGUUGGGACGCCGGCCAGAGGAGGAAGAGGUGGUCGCAGUCGCAGGGGCGGGAGGAGCUCUGUGCUGAAAACGCGAGGACGACGACAAGUUACGAACCCAUUCGAGGCUCUGACGCCGGAGGAGAAGGAGCGGGAAAUCAAUAGGCACAAGUGGGCGAGGCUCGCGGGGGACGGCUUCCUGCCGAAGGCUACGACGGAGGACGACGCUUGCAGGAGGGAACGGAUUCGGACAGGGAUGGGUUCACCGGAAGACGUAACUCUGCUGGAACUACAGCGCCGUGUACAUGCGGAGGUAAGACGCAACUCAAUGCUUGCAGGCGAUGGAACACUGUCGGGAACGAAAGACCAGUCGGAGAUUGAGAGAAGAGCAAGGGCGAGAGCCGGGAAAGCCACUGCCGAAGACAUCGCGGAGUUGGAAAAACAGAGGAUCGCAAGACGACAAUACGUGCAGAGGGCAAGGCUGGUUGACGAUGGAUGCCUUGGCCCUACUGGAGACAAUAUCGAAUUGCGGAGGCGAGCCAGAGUCAGGGAAGGCACCGCGAUACCAGAAGAUAUGACGGCCAUUGAGAACCAGCGUCGGGCAGCGAUGAUACAGAGGAUCGCGAACUUUAAGAACCCAUCGGUGCACAAAUCUUUCGCAUCUGUGUUGAAGCAGGCACCGGUGCUUCCAGAAGGAGUUACAACUGGACUGACCUACACGAAGCCUGCAGAACGAAAUGGGAGGACGGGGGCAUUACUGGGAGGGGAAUUAAUUAAGAAAUUGGAGAAGACGAGGUUCGCCGGAACGCUGCUGGUCCGGCGACUGGUUGACGAGAAGAUAUACCCACGCUUCGCGAGAAAUUUCAUCAAACAGGUAUGGGGAAUUAGUGGGGACCAAUUCGAGGUGCAGGUGAGGCAGUCCGGAGUGCUACUAAUCCAAUUCAGGCGGGGGGGAGACUACACGACAGUGAAGGACGCCGGCGACACUUGGAUGGAUGGGGUGUAUACGAUAGUGAGGAAAUGGACUGAAGGGAAGGCUAUGGAAAACGCGAAGGUCAAAACAUUGCCGAUUUGGGUAGGGUUACCGGAAUUCCCUGCGCAUAUGUGGUGCCAAGAGGUCUUCUCCACAAUCGGAAGUGUGUUGGGUUCGCCGGUAAAAACAGACGCACAUACGGCUAAAGGUUCAAACCCCAAUGGUGCAAAGUUACUGGUAAUUAUGGAGGCAACAGGGAGCUUCCCAACGGAAGUCCCAAUUUACAUUCAAGGGGACGGUGGGGUGGAGUCGGAGGAAACUUGCAGAGUCAACUAUCUGAAAAUGCCGCCGAUCUGCAAAAAGUGCAAUUCCUUCGUCCAUCAGGCGGAGCGUUGCAGAUUCGAGGAAGAGGCACCGGACGAAGUAGUCGGUGACCAGGAAGGGGCAAGGAGCAAAAAUCCGACGAUUGACGGAGAGAACAGCGAGAAAUCGAACGACGCAAACCGCUCUGAAACUCCCGCGAAGAACGACUCGGCUGGAGAAGACAGUCGACGUGGAGACGACGUGGCACAAAAACCCAAUCGGGAGGAGACAACUAAUGCUGAUGUGGCGAUGGGAACAAAUAGAAGAAGGCCAAAUCUUGAUGACGUGGACACAAGGGUCCUCAUAAAGGAGCUACAGAACCGGAUAUUAACAGAGCUGAUCGAAUCCGGGCAGGCGGAUAAGCAAGCGGGCGGGGAAGAUCCAUAUAGCGAGAUUGGGGAAGAAAAUGGAAGUAUAUACCAAUCAAUAUGUGGAAAAGUCAACAUGGGCAUAACCGGACCCGGGUCGGGCGGGCAAAUCGAACUAAAGGAAACCCAAUUAGAGAACGAUGGAGAAGAAACAGAGGAUUUAAGAAACAGGGCACUUCAGAGCAAGAAGGGGAAGGAGGAAGAUGAUGUUCCAGGGGAAGACCGUACAAUGAAUUGCCAGCGGAGGAGGAAGAAAAAGUUUCACGCUAGCAAGGACAAGCUGCAGAGAGAAGAUUCUCCACACUGUACGAUGGUGCAAACGCUAGCGGAAAGGAGGAGCGGGAUAGAAAACCAGGGUGGAACCCAACGUGAAACAGUGCAAGUCACCUCUGGGAAAAAGAGAACACGCGGUACGGAGGAUAUGGGAAGAGAGGACGUCGACGAUAAUGCAGAAUUCGUAGAGAUGGACAGUACAUCGACGGAUUUGAUCGUUAUACCAGUCGACGGUGACCUGGCAAAAUACGGAAGGAAGAAGAACGGUGAGGAAGACGAGUGCAGUGGAGUCAAUUAUUUAUUAAGGGGGGGGGGCUCUUAAAUAAAUUUCACAUGCCAGGCCUGAUCAGUCUGAACCAAUUCGGCAAAUCGAAAAUUCCAGGUCAGGUGCGUCUAAAUAAACACAUUUAUGGUCUGGACCAAUUGAGAUCAAUUAAGCUCUGGGGUGAGAAAAUAAGGUUCAGCCAAGAUCAAGUAACUACUGCAAGUGAAAUGCCAAGACUAACCCCGAGUCAACGAGUGGACCAAGGGGCAGAACAGACAAAAUUAGUUGGAAAGGAGGACCCGAUAACGUUUAAAGCGCAACCCAAAUCCAAAGAGGGGAAACUCAGAAAGGGGGAAGGAUUGAAAUCGAAAAGGGGAAGCGGUAGGAACCCGACCCGACCGGAGACCCGAAUAGCUGAACUUAAAAUUAAAAAGAAAACAGAGAUAUUGCCGGCAAGCGGAGGAAGGUACAGCACAGACUUAAGGAACCAGUCGCCGAUGACCACCAGGGCGGCGGCCAGCAACAAGAAAGUAGUGCAAACCGAGGACGCGUUGUCAAUGAUCCAAGACGCAUUGGAAUUGUCCACGCCGGUAACCAAUUUGGUGAAGAGAAAUAGAUCGCCAAGAAUCCCCAGUGGUGGGUUGCGGAAGAAACACAGGGAGAGCGACGAAACAGAGGAAAUAAUGGCGGAGGAUGAGCACGAGGGAGAACAACACCAGAUUGAGAAGCUCGGGGAAGUGAUCUCGCUACAGCAGAAUGGUGAAUUAACACCCAAUCGGGAAAACAGUCAAUUAAGCAAGGAUACAGAGCAACGGCAGGAUCGAUCUGGGAAAGCUCCAGGAACCCAUACGUCGACUUCGAGAGGUAAAAAAUUAUCUAAAAAUAAAUCCAAACAGAAAGCAAGGAGAGAAGUGGAGCUAGAAGCUGGGGCAUCUGCGGAGAAGGAGAUAUCGAUGAAGACCAGAGAAGACUAUCUGCUCAAUCCUGAACGACUCACGAACUGCAUAUCGGACAGACUGUCGGGAGCUCUAGAUUUUGCGGAGGAAGUCGGGAAUGAUGACGUCUCUGAUGGGGAAUAUGAGAUAGGCAGAAUUGUAUGGGACAAGCUGCCGGGAGAUGCGAUUACGAGAGAGGAGCAAAUUCAGGGUGAUAGUGGCCAGCUGGAGGAGUUCCGGCGAGAUCCAACCACCGUCUAAAAGCUCUGUUCCGACUUAACCACCAGGGGUGGGGUGAGUGGGGGAGGUGAGAUAAAUUAAAUAAAUUUAAUUAAGCUGAAAUUAGGAGAGAGUGAUUAGUCAAAUUAAAGUUAAUUAAUAAUCUGCUGAUUAGGUAAGCAAAUAGAGGUUAGUAAAAAUAAUUUAACCAAUGACUUACGAAAUGGGGGGAAAAUAUGGGAAAAUUGCAUGCUAUGAUUGGGGGGGGUAUGAGAGAGAUGCUUGUGGAUAAGAAUGAUAAAAUAAAAACAAAAAUAAAAAGGCUAAAUACAAUUAAAAAAGUCUGCACAUGGGCCAAAAUGAGGGGGGAGAAAAGGUAUGCACGUGGGCAAAAACCAAUUGGGUAAAAAAACAAUAAUAAGAAUAAAAACUGCAAUUAAAAAUCCUUGCACGUGGGUUUUAGUAAUGGUAUACAAGCACGUGGGUAGGGAGGGGCAACCAAAGAAAAAUGCUAGAAACUGGCCCAAUUGCACCAAAUGGGCAAUGGUCCACAAAAUUAAAAAUUCACUAUACAUGAACGUGGGGGUGGAAACCAUAAACGAAGAAUUGAAUAAAAAACAUUUGAUAUUCCUAGAUAAGCAAGUGGGGUGCAUAGAGAAAUCCAUUAUAGUGUGAAUGGGUCUAACCAACUCUUCAGAGUUGGGCAAGACCAAACCCCACACAAAAAUGGAGAUGGGCCUAAUCCAAGGGGGGAUGGAAAUGCAAGGGGGCAAAGGCAAAAACUUAGGAGACCUAACCAAAUUAGCAGAACUCAGAAUUUGGCCAAAAGUCAAAAUUGGCCGAAUUUGACUAGAAGUCAAACGAAUUUGACCAAUAAUCAAACAACAAUUUUGCCUAAGAGUCAGCGAUAUUGGAGAUGGGGUUUGUGCACUAUGGCUCCCGACAGUCAAAAUGGACAAUCCCUUACCACCCAAAUUCCCCAGAGUUUGAUCAAAAGUCAAAAUCAACCAAUUUUGGCCAAUAGUCAAAAUCAACUGAUUUUGACCAAUAGUCAAAAUUGGAGCUUGGGCAAGAGGCAAACCCGGGAUGAUACUACCCACCCGGUAGUGACCCGACAACGACCCAAUAGUGACCCGACUGGGACCCGUUAGCCAACCAGAACAAAAAAAAUGGUCAUCGAUACCACACCAAACCCUAGGCACACUAACAGACCCGACACAGACCCGAUAAACAAAAAGGCACCAAAAAUAAAAUAAAUAAAAUAAAAUAAAAACAAUAAAUGUCGUUUGGGAGCUGGAAUGUGUAUGGGCUGAAUAGUGACCUAAGGAAGAAUGCGGUAAAGAAGUUUGUGAAAAAACACAAGUUGGACCUCUUUGGACUUUAUGAAACUAAAAUCAUGAAGAAGAACUUCCAACAUAUCAGUAAGAUAUUUGGACAGAAAUUUUCGGUAAUAUCAAACAGAGAACAAUCUGACCCUAGGGCAGACUCUAUCUGGAUGGUAUGGGACACUGGUCUUUGGGACAUAGAAGAUCCAAUUCUACACGACCACUACAUACAUUGUUUUGCAAAAAACAAAGGGGGGUUCAAUAUAAACAUAACCAUGGUGUAUGCAUCGUCAGAUUACCAGGUGAGGGAGGAAACAUGGAGGGACCUAAAAACACUAAGUAGAGCCAUUAGGGGCCCAUGGAUUGUCCUUGGCGAUUUUAAUGAGGUUAGGAAUAGGGAAGAUAGGAUUGGAAAGCAUGCGGUUGUAAAAAUGCCCCACAUAAGACAAUUUAAUAAAGACCUAAAUGAAGCAUGCUUAAAAGAAAUUAUUAUAAAUGGCAACCCAACAACCUGGCAUAAUAAAAGACAUGGAGAACAUAGGGUCUGCAGUAGAAUAGACAAGGGCUUUGGAAAUACUGAACUGUUUGAUCUAUGGCCGGACAUCAGACUGGAUAGCCACUCAGGUGGAUCAUCCGAUCACCGUAGUCUAACCAUGGACCUUAGGACGGUGCAGGAGAAGAAGAAGCCCUUUAGAUUCACCAACUUAUGGUUAAGGAAGGAAGAACUGAAGGGGAUAGUACAAGAGGCAUGGCAGAUAGAUGUCUGGGGCACGCCGAUGUACAUUUUCACAAAGAAACUCAACAACGUCAAGAGGGUCCUGAAGAAAUGGAAGACAUCAGAGGACCAACAAAGGAAGAUGAUGGCUCAACUAGAGGAGGAGGUCAACAAGGAUGAAAGCUUGCUUCAACAAACACCGUUUGAUGAAGCAAUCCAUGAUAGGGUAGAAGCCACCAAUAGGAAGAUAGACGCCCUAACUAAAACACAAGAGGAAAACGCUAGACAAAGGAGUAGAGCCUACUGGUUGCAUCUAGGGGAUAAGAAUACUAAGUUCUUUGCAGCCAUGACCAAACAGAGAAAAGUACUAAACUCUCUAUAUAGGAUGUUAGGGCCAAAUGGGAGGGUAAUGGUGUCUAGGAGUGAAAUGGAGGAGAAGACCCUAGCACACUUUAAGAACCUGUUUGCUGAAGGGGAGGAGAGCAUCUCUAGGGAAACUAGGAACUUUACUAAAAGAGUAACACCACAACAGAACCUAGACCUAGAGCAAACCCCUACCUAUGAAGAGGUAAAAAAGGUUGUAAUGAGCUUAAAUCCAGACAAGAGCCCUGGCCCAGAUGGGUUUAAUGGAGCCUUCUUUAGGGCCUUUUGGACCAUAAUGGACAAGGAUCUUGUCAAAGCAAUACAAUCAAUUUUCGUAGGGGACCCACUCCUAAGGCAAGUCAACUCUACCUUUGUGACCUUAAUACCAAAAAUUAAAAACCCGACUAGAUUGGAUCAAUUCAUACCAAUAUCAUGUAUCAAUACAACAUAUAAGAUCCUAUCUAAGGUCAUCACAAAUAGGGUGGUUCCAGUGGUAGACACCAUAAUAGACAACAACCAAACAGCCUUCCUCCCAGGAAGGCUGAUUGGGGACAACUACCUACUAGCAACAGAGAUGGUGGCAGGUUUUGGGAGGGGAAAUGGAGGGGCCAAUGCUGCUAUAAAGGUUGACCUAGCAAAGGCCUUUUACACAGUGAGUUGGGAGGCAAUAGAGGGUACAAUGGUAGAUCUAGGAUUCAGCCAGAAGAUUGUGAGGAUAAUAAUUGAUGAAGCACGGAAUCUGCUACCAGUAGGCUCGCGGGGUUGCGAGGAGGGCCGGAGGCUUUGGAGUCCACGACGCGCGCUCUACGUCAAUGUACCUGCAGAAGAGGAGGGGAAUCGGCGACUCACGUGGGAGUAGGCGAUUCGGGCUCCUUAGUUUGCUCUGGUUGGAGUGUGUGUUGUCAAGAUGAGUUGAGGGUAGAGGUCCACCAAGGACCCCUUUUAUAGGGUCCUGGGGGACGUUUUCCCCAUUCAUUAGCGUGGGGCCCACCCCAUUAAGGUAUCCUAUUAAGGAAUGCCUUAAUGGCGAGGGUCCGCUCAAGUAACGGCUGGGAGUCGGCGAUUCAGGUGUGGGAAUCGCCGAUCCAGAGGUUCAAUCGCCGACUCCCCAUGAGCCUAGUGGCAGCCUACCAGAACUGUCCACAAGGCCUAGAGUUAGCGAUUCACCCCUGGAGUCGGCGACUUGGUAGUCCCAAUCGGCGACUCCCAAGUGUUAACUUGGGCUCUUGACGUAGACACGUGCUCCGCACCGUGGAAGCCUUUCCGGGGGUCCGGCAUAUAGCGACGGAACCCUAUUCCUUGUUUGAAGGGCGUUGCUGGGAGUGACUGACGUAAUCAGGCAUGUCUCACCAAUAAUGAUGUGCAUCACCACAUCAUCUCUGUCCUUCCUUGUAAAUGGCUCACCCACACCACAAAUCCAACCCAAGAGGGGAAUCAGACAAGGUGAUCCCCUCUCACCUUACAUAUUUGCUCUAAUAAUGCAGAAUCUAACCAUCCUAAUCAAUGAGCGGGUAGCUAAGAAGCAAAUUAGUACCUUUAAGAAACAUAAUGUGAUGGGUAUAUCACACCUCAUAUAUGCAGACGACCUCCUAAUCUUUUGCAAAGCUAGGGAGGAGUCAUUCAAGUCGGUGAAUGAAGUAUUCAGAGUGUUUGAGGAAAGAACAGGGCUGAAGGUGAGUGAGCCAAAGAGUGAAGUCUUCUUCUCGAACUCCACCAGAGAAAGGAAACUCUACUAACUCAC
rnacentral:lncRNA from 1 species